GGGCGGCACUACUUAAACACCACGCAGACGGCGAGAGGACGCCAGAUUGUUAACGUUUGUGGUACCUCCUCGUGACAGCCCACUCCCUCUCGUGACUUAGUGUAGUCAGUUGUGACAGUUGCUCCACGCAUCAUCAUUCUCCGCUUGGAGUUCGUCUCAUCCGCUAUCAUCUGGUUCCUCUCGCCGUACUGGUCCUCUGGAUUCCCCGGUGCUGCUCAGACCCGGCCCCACCUUCGACCCACUGGUCUCUCGGACACCUGUGGCCACCAUCACACGACUGGCGCUGAGUCCCCACUGCUUCCUCCCCGGACGGCUCUCCAUCCACUGAGUGUGAUCGACCCGGUUUCCUGAUCCCUGACCGCUGCCAGACGCUGCCUCUGCUGAGGCAGAAUUUCCC